CUGGACCCUUUGCAUUUGUUGGCCAAACCAUCCUUGCUCCCUUUUGUAUGUUUACUUUUUCUCACGCCAACCUUUUAAUUCUGGCGGGACUUCUAAUCAGAGUACCGGCGGCCCCUGGCCAAUUAUCUUACUCCAUCCUCUUGGCCACUGUGAUGGAUCCCAGGGCGAGCACAGGCACAAAAACAACUGGAGCCCUUCUGUGGCGAAACCAGAAGAGAGACUCUCUCUUUCUUCCGGGGUUACUGAGCUAGGAUAACGUGAGCCCUGAGCUGCCUGUGCUGCGUCUGGAGGAAGCCGGUCUGCUACCACGGGGAAUGAAAGAGCUGAGGCAGCUGGAGAGCAAAGGCAUCCCGACAGAAUCGCUUGAGUUCCCGAAUCCGGUCAACGGAAAGGCCAGCACCCCCACUUGAUUGGAAUGCCGUGAGGUCUAAAGGAGAGAAUUCACGUCAAACACCAAGUAGCGUGCCGAACACCAGCAUGACGUGCCAAGCGGUACCAUGUCCACACCUGGGAUCCGAACCGGCAUACCCUGGGCCACCGAGAAGCGGAACGUGUGCACUUAACCGCUGCGCCACCAGUUUGGUCCAGUUGGGAAGAUAAAGAAAACAAGAUGUGCAAGGCAAUUCCUCUGAAAUGGCUGCUCCAGCUCUAUUUUACUAUGGCUCCGCUCAAGUCAUCUUUCACAGGAGCAUUGUCUGAAGGAACGCCGGAAGGUGAGAGGAUGGUGCAGAAAGACCAGGCAGGGUUCACUCUGCUACACAGGGUGGCUAGGAGUCCAAAUUGACAGCACUAAGAACGACAACAUAUGGGGCCGGCCCGGCAGCGCAGUGGUUAAGUUCUCACGUUCCACUUCGGCGGC
ensembl:lncRNA